GGAAACCGAGUCUUAACUGGGCGUUAAGUUGCAGGGUAUAGACCCGAAACCCGGUGAUCUAGCCAUGGGCAGGUUGAAGGUUGGGUAACACUAACUGGAGGACCGAACCGACUAAUGUUGAAAAAUUAGCGGAUGACUUGUGGCUGGGGGUGAAAGGCCAAUCAAACCGGGAGAUAGCUGGUUCUCCCCGAAAGCUAUUUAGGUAGCGCCUCGUGAAUUCAUCUCCGGGGGUAGAGCACUGUUUCGGCAAGGGGGUCAUCCCGACUUACCAACCCGAUGCAAACUGCGAAUACCGGAGAAUGUUAUCACGGGAGACACACGGCGGGUGCUAACGUCCGUCGUGAAGAGGGAAACAACCCAGACCGCCAGCUAAGGUCCCAAAGUCAUGGUUAAGUGGGAAACGAUGUGGGAAGGCCCAGACAGCCAGGAUGUUGGCUUAGAAGCAGCCAUCAUUUAAAGAAAGCGUAAUAGCUCACUGGUCGAGUCGGCCUGCGCGGAAGAUGUAACGGGGCUAAACCAUGCACCGAAGCUGCGGCAGCGACACUGUGUGUUGUUGGGUAGGGGAGCGU
rnacentral:rRNA from 1 species